rnacentral:rRNA from 1 species
GUCUAUGGUCAUACCACCCUGAACACAUCCCAUCUUGUCUAAUCUUGAAAGCUACGUAGGAUCAAGCCUGGUUAUUACUUGAAUGAGGAGACUACCAGUGAAUAUCUGGUGCUAUAGGCU